AGCAGCACACAUACGGUAUCUUGAGGCUUGAGUAGAUUCUGGGGAACAGGAGUUAGAAGCUAAGGCCAGCUGCAGUGGGACAUGGUGUCCCCACAGCUCCCUCUGUGCUCCAGAGUCCUCUUGGCUUGGCUACACGGAUGGCCCAGGAGAACAUGCCUAAGCUGGCUAUUCUGCUCACCUUUAGCAAACUGCCCCUGGGCCAGGGUUCCCUGAGGGAACCUGAACCAAGCUGGGUUCCAUUACUCCAGGAAUAGCAGCUGACACUGCUCCCCACCCACCGAUGGCUUCUGACCAGGUUCCCCGAGGCCCCAGCAGUCUCCAGAAGCCAGUGGCAGCAAGCUGUGAUCAGGAAGCUGCUGUGGGGGGUGAAGAACGAAGAGACUUUACAGACAGGAUUUUAAGCCAUGUGUGGUGCUGCAUAUCUGUAAUACCAGCAUUUGGGAGGCAGCCUACUGUCCAUGCCCGGGAGUUAAAAGAUUGGAUUGGAGAAGACAGAUGCACAAGUUGUAACAGCCAGUGUGGCCAGUGUCAGGACACAGAAGCUGUGAGGCUUCUGGAAGACCAGAGGAGAAUCCCAGCUGGUGUGAGAAUCCCCAAAGUUCACACACCCCCUGCCCCGGAAGGGUUGGGGACAGGGCAAAAGCACAUGGAAGUUUCCAGGUGCUGAGGUGUGGGCCUCAGGUCAAGGUGUUAACAGUCACAGACUGUCCAGUUCCUUGGGCUGUGCGUGUUUGGUCUACCCGAGUCUAAUUACCUCCAGGUUUCUGUCCCCAGCUAUUCCAAUAACCCACCAAUUUAAGUCCGUGGCAAUCAAUUCCAAGCAGGAGAGGAUAAUUGACUCUUAACGUGUGCGGACAUUUCCUGAUUGUGAGAGAACAGAGUCUUCUGGAGGUGCAGCGGGUUCCUUUCUAGCCACCCUGCUGCCCUGUCCUCUCACGUUAGCCAGCUCCUAUACCAACAUCUGGAUAGGCGAUGCACGUCUCUGAUGUCCAUCGUAGUCCCAUGGUGACCAGGUGAGCAGUUUUGAACCGAGGCAGGAGGAUUGCACUCAAACGUGAGCUCCUGUGUGUGGCCCUCAUCCUUGACGCCCUGAGAUGAAGCACAGGUCUUCCUUCCUUCCUGAACUCCACUUUCCUGCCAAUGACAAGGGUGAUCAGCUGCAAACACAGCCCAGGCCUCUUCCUGCUUUGCUGCUCUGCAACUGGACACGUGCUUUGCUCAGUCUGAGGCUCUGAGGGGUCUGGACGCUAGAAUGGACCCUGGAAACAAGAGCCCUGGGUAGGAUUCUGGCUCGGGACUCCAAAACUGAGGCUCCAGUGAGCAGAAAGCACCACGGUGAGCAUCAAGACAGGAGGUGCUGGUGCUGGUGGGAACUGCAGAGGAAUCACCUUGGAUCAACAUAAAUGUGGUUGUGGCCAGGGGAUAGAAGCCAUCCCCAGAGUCCCAGGUCUUUGAAAACCUUCUCCAAGCAAAAUACUCCUAGCAAGAGCUCUCGCUGGGGUGUGUGUGUGAAAAUCAGCUCUUAGCCAUAUCAUAGCUUAUGGGGCUCCUCCACUUCUGUGAGCCUGGGUGACAGCGAAUAAAUCAUUCAGGGCCUAAGUCUUUUUAUCUAUAAAAUGGACUAUCAUCUGGUUCAAGGUCACUGACUGCUAGGGUGGACAGAGGGUCUUGGGUCAUCCCAUAUCCAAAUUCUUUUCCUGUUUAGAGGAAUCGGUGACUAUCCCCUGACCCUGUGUGAUCCUGGAUUUGUCAAGUUUGAAUAUGGUGAAAAUGAAGCAGCAGGGGGAAGCCAGUCAGAGGUCACAACAGGUGUCUGCAGUGGACAAGAGCCCACCAUGCAGCAGCGGCCAGCAGUGACCAGCACGGGGCUGACGAGAGACAUCUCUGUGGUACAUUCUAUUUAGACGUCUUCCUCCCUUCACUCCUUCCCUUUUGUCUUGUUUCUGUUUUUGAGACAAAUCUUUAUGUAGCCCAG